UCUUUAGACUAGUUGUGUAUAUGGAGCAUCAGCAUUUGUGGGUUCGAUUACAUGUUCGAAAUGGCCAGAAACAAAGACCUUUCUUCUGAAACUUAACAGUCUAUUCUUGUUCUGAGAAAUUAAGGCUAUUGAAUGCUCAAACUGGCCAAGAAACUGAACAUCUCGUACAACACUGUGUACUACUCCUGUCAUGUAUUGUCAUGUUGUGUCCUGUUUCUGUCCUUUCUCUUCACCCUGUCUCCCUCUGCUGGUCGUUUUAGGUUACCUUUUCUCCCCCUCUUUCCCCCAGCUGUUACCUUUUCUCCCCCUCUUUCCCCCAGCUGUUCCUUGUCUCCUCCUAACUACCUCGUCACCCCUUUUCCCACCUGUUCCCUUUUUCCCUCUGAUUAGUCCUCUAUAUCUCUCUGUUUUUGUUUCUGUCUUUGUCGGAUUCUUGUUUGUGUUAUUCAUGCCCGAACCAGACUAUCGUCAUGUUUGCUGCAACCUUGUCCUGUCCUGUCGGAAUCUGCCGGUCCAUCUGAGCCUACCUAUGUUUUGUCAUUAAAGAAGCUCUGUUUACGUUAAUUCACUUUUGGGUCCUCAUUCACGCACCGUAACAACUCCCUUCACAGAACAGCCAAACUGUCUCUAACCAGUAUAGAAAUAGGAGUGGAAGGCCCUGGUGCACAACUAAGCAAGAGGACAAGUACAUUAGAGUGUCUAGUUUGAGAAACAGACGCCUCACAAGUCCUCAACUGGCAGCUUCAUUAAAUAGUACCCGCAAAACACCAGUGAAGAGGCGACUCCGGGAUGCUGGCCUUGUAGGCAGAGUUGCAAAGAAAAAGCCAUCUCAAGACUGGCUAACACAAAUAAAAGAUUAAGAUGGGCAAAAGAACACACACACUGGACAGAGGAACUAUGCCUGGAAGGCCAGCAUUCCGGAGUCGCCUCUUCAUUGUUGACGUUGAGACUGGUGUUUUUGUGUACUAUUUGUGAGGGAACAGGGUUUAACAUCCCAGUCAAGCAAUGGGCUAUCUGGCUGGGUUAUCUGCUUCCAUGAAGGUGUUUGGGAACCACAUUUUGGAAAGGAUGUGGACGUGUGGUGUCUCUGACUGGUUCUUGGGGGUUUUCAGAGAAAAGAGGGAUGAGCUUGCUUCGGCAGCUUCAUGUCUCUGCCUCGGAUAUUGUGCUAUGCUGCAGAGCAGUGGCCUGGCGUUAUGGAUCUCCUCUCCUUUGCAAUGGAUGUAGCCCAGAUUGGGGAAAGUUUCACCUCCUCUGACGACUGCGAUAAAACGUCGCUUUACUUUUUUUGCAGUUCUCUACCUGGAAUAACUCACAUUCAGCGAAGUUGCAUGAAUAUGUUACUGUUUUAGAGGGGGCUCAUCUAGCUUGCAUGCCGCUAUGGGAGACGCGGUCUCUUGCUGUUGAACCUGGCCUGGUAUUUGCUCAUAGAGAGCAGUGAGCAUUUGCUAUCGCUCAGGGCAAAAUACUUUCCGGAUCACUCAACGUGGGUGUGGAUUUAUUUUCUAGGGGGGGGGGGGGGGGUCU
rnacentral:lncRNA from 13 species